rnacentral:miRNA from 1 species
UGUGAAUCUCCGGCGCGUUU